UACGUAGGUGGCAAGCGUUGUCCGGAUUUAUUGGGUUUAAAGGGUGCGUAGGCGGCUUAUUAAGUCAGUGGUGAAAUCCUCUAGCUCAACUAGAGGGGUGCCAUUGAUACUGAUGAGCUUGAGUACAGAUGAGGUAGGCGGAAUUGACGGUGUAGCGGUGAAAUGCUUAGAUAUCGUCAAGAACACCUAUAGCGAAGGCAGCUUACUAGGCUGUAACUGACGCUGAGGCACGAAAGUGUGGGGAUCAAACAGG
rnacentral:rRNA from 1 species